CAGUCGCCGCGGUAAUACGAAGGGUGCAAGCGUUAAUCGGAAUUACUGGGCGUAAAGCGUGCGUAGGCGGUUUGUUAAGUCUGUUGUGAAAUCCCCGGGCUCAACCUGGGAAUGGCAAUGGAUACUGGCAAGCUAGAGUGUGUCAGAGGAUGGUGGAAUUCCCGGUGUAGCGGUGAAAUGCGUAGAGAUCGGGAGGAACAUCAGUGGCGAAGGCGGCCAUCUGGGACAACACUGACGCUGAGGCACGAAAGCGUGGGGAGCAAACAGGAUUAGAGACCCCCGUAGUCCCUGUCUCUUAUAC
rnacentral:rRNA from 1 species